rnacentral:rRNA from 1 species
UGAGGAAUAUUGCACAAUGGGCGAAAGCCUGAUGCAGCGACGCCGCGUGAAGGAUGAAGGUCUUCGGAUUGUAAACUUCUGUUAAGUGGGAAAAAAGAAUUGCUUUUAAUAGAAGCAGUGGAUGAUGGUACCACUAGAGAAAGCACCGGCUAACUUCGUGCCAGCAGCCGCGGUAAUACGAGGGGUGCAAACGUUAUUCGGAAUCAUUGGGCGUAAAGGGUGCGUAGGCGGCAAAAUAAGUCAGUUAUUAAAUUCCCCAGCUUAACUGGGGGUCUGUAAUUGAAACUGUUUUGCUUGAGGAUGGAAGAGAGAAGUGGAAUUCUCGGAGUAGCGGUAAAAUGCGUAGAUCUCGAGAGGAACACCGAUGGCGAAGGCAGCUUCUUGGUCCAUAUCUGACGCU